UACGUGGGGCGCAAGCGUUGUCCGGAAUUAUUGGGCGUAAAGAGCUCGUAGGCGGUUUGUCGCGUCUGCUGUGAAAACCUAAGGCUCAACCUUGGGCUUGCAGUGGGUACGGGCAGACUAGAGUGCGGUAGGGGUGACUGGAAUUCCUGGUGUAGCGGUGGAAUGCGCAGAUAUCAGGAAGAACACCCGUGGCUAAGGCGGCUCUCUAGUACGGUACUGACGCUGAGACGCGAAAGCGUGGGGAGCGAACAGG
rnacentral:rRNA from 1 species